CAUUACUGAGUUUACGCUCUAUAACCCUUUGUGAACAUACCUAUAACUGUUGCUUCGGCGGGUAGGGUCUCCGCGACCCUCCCGGCCUCCCGCCUCCGGGCGGGUCGGCGCCCGCCGGAGGAUAACCAAACUCUGAUUUAACGACGUUUCUUCUGAGUGGUACAAGCAAAUAAUCAAAACUUUUAACAACGGAUCUCUUGGUUCUGGCAUCGAUGAAGAACGCAGCGAAAUGCGAUAAGUAAUGUGAAUUGCAGAAUUCAGUGAAUCAUCGAAUCUUUGAACGCACAUUGCGCCCGCCAGCAUUCUGGCGGGCAUGCCUGUUCGAGCGUCAUUUCAACCCUCAAGCUCUGCUUGGUGUGGGGCCCUACAGCUGAUGUAGGCCCUCAAAGGUAGUGGCGGACCCUCCCGGAGCCUCCUUUGCGUAGUAACUUUACGUCUCGCACUGGGAUCCGGAGGGACUCUUGCCGUAAAACCCCCCAAUUCUCCAAAGGUUGACCUCGGAUCA
rnacentral:rRNA from 1 species